GUUCCUCUGCAUCGCCGGCCACCACCUCCUUCAUGCCGACGUUGCUGGGUGGUUGCGAUGGUUAUUGCGUUGUUGUGGUUGAUGGUGUUGUCCUGCCUCCGUGCUCGGCUUUCCUCUGCUUGUCGCCGCCAAUAAUGGUGGCCUACCAACACAACAUCAUUUGUAACUAAUUGGUGACUACUAGCUAGCGCCGUCCAAUUAGGGUGGGGGAUUAGAUCUUGCAAGAAAGGCUUCGUCGGAGAUUCCAAUUUUAUGCCCGCCAGGGAACUCGGGGUCGCCUCUCUCUUCGUUUGAGCCGCCGCUACCGCCUUCUUUGCCGCCCUUAACGCCUCCGGCAUCCACAGUGUCUACACUCCGAGGAUUGCGCCUUAUGCGAGGAAUUUGAUGUGGUUCGUGAGCAAUGGGCUAAGUUUUUUACCAACAAGUAUUUAUUAUUGGCUUUAGCGCGCUUGAUCGAGUUGGUUUAGUUGUUAUAGAAUAAAUUUUAUAUUAAAAUGUAUGUUUAUGUUGAAAUUGGAACAUAUAUUUAAAUGUAAUAUGUGCACUUUGGUUUUGGGAUAUAUAGUAUACAAAACUCCAGUUGUUGUUUUUA